rnacentral:rRNA from 1 species
AACGAACGCUGGCGGCAGGCCUAACACAUGCAAGUCGAACGCUCCAGCAAUGGAGAGUGGCAGACGGGUGAGUAACGCGUGGGAACCUUCCCUAUGGUUCGGAAUAGCCCAGGGAAACUUGGGGUAAUACCGAAUAAGCCCUUCGGGGGAAAGAUUUAUCGCCAUUGGAUGGGCCCGCGUCGGAUUAGCUGGUGGGUGGGGUAACGGCCUACCAAGGCGACGAUCCGUAGCUGGUCUGAGAGGAUGAUCAGCCACACUGGGACUGAGACACGGCCCAUACUCCUACGGGACGUAGCAGUGGGGAAUAUUGGACAAUGGGCGCAAGCCUGAUCCAGCCAUGCCGCGUGAGUGACGAAGGCCUUAGGGUUGUAAAGCUCUUUUGGCGGGGAAGAUAAUGACGGUACCCGCAGAAUAAGCUCCGGCUAACUUCGUGCCAGCAGCCGCAGUAACAC